CAAGGUCAGUCAUGGGAGCUGGAAUCAUCCUCUCCAGAUAAGGAGUCUAGCUAAGAUGAAUUGAUGAGAAACUCUCAUGGGAUUUUACUGAGCAUAUCCAGGCUCAAGACUCCAUUUUGUCUUCUCUUUUGCAUCAGACCUCAGUGGAGGUGGAUGCAAGUAUGUUCUUGGACUUCAAUGUUAGCAGUUUGCAUCAGACCUCAGUGGAAGUGGAUGCAUGUUUACUUAUGGACCUCAUUGCUUCCGACUCUACAUGACCUCAUGGAUCAUCCCAAGCCAGAGCUUCCUGUUGGCCAUCGCCACCCCCAGAUCCUUCAAGUUCAAGCCAGCCACUUCAAGGAUACCAUCCAUCCAUCUUGCCCUUAGUCGGCAUUAUACUAACUCUUUCGAGAAUCUCAUCUCUUUCCAUUAAGAAAUGUUUACAUUGAAAAUAAAGUAGCAGGGAUCUUCUUCCUAACCUUUGCCUUAUUGGAAGCCAAUCUGUGACAUUAUGGGGCACUGUGUGGGAAACCAUAUUGUGGGAGUUGGUAUAUUGAAACCACAGAAACAAGCUCAUGGGGGUGUUAUGGAUAAAUUAAACUCAGCCUGGUUCAGAAGCAAGAUAGAUGCAGCUUUUCUAAAGAGCCUGAAUAGGGAGGGAGUGAUCCCCAAUGGGUUCAAUGGGUCUGAUUUCUUUCGCACGGGAUCGCACAGCAACAGAAAGAAAGAAAAAGGCUAGAAAGAGCCUCCCAACAGACAUGUUUGAAUUUGUACUUCCUUCACAAAAUCAAUACUUAUAAAGCCUCAUUGCUCUGAAGGAAAGGUUCCACAUGGGGUCAGAGCACAAGAAAAUAGCAGCUCCCUCCUCUCUUUCACACGCAUGCAUGCACACACAAACACAUUUAAAGGCACACAGUGAACUUUCACUACUGUGAUCUCACUUGUAUUUAUCAAAAUUUAUUGAACACAAAACAGAGAAGAGGGACACAAAUCUAAACCAAGGAAACGAAUGACCGUCACAAAGACAUAGGUGAUAUGAGUCCCUUUGUUUUCCUGCAUCCCCCCAGCACAGCUAUCUGUCCAAGAAAGAUUUUUCACAUUGCUGUAAAGGUUUAAAUUGUCUUUUUUAAAAAAAUCAUAGAAAACUGUGCCUUCUGGAUACACACACACUCACACCCACUUCAUGAAGAUGCAACUGUAAUGCUUGAAAGCACCAGCACAGAUGGAAACAAGUUGAACUCUUUGCAAGAAUGUGCGCUGAAUCAAUCAGACUCUCAAAGAUGCCAGCUUCAUGCUGGUUGGAUCCUCACAUUCACAAGGCACCUCCGUACACAAAUAUCUGCCUGAGUUUUCCUUUGGUCCACAAUGCACCCUAUCCUCACAAUCCACGCUCCAGCCCUUGCAGGGAUUAAUAGAUAUAUGUAAAUAGAAAGAAAGUGUUGCAAAAUUGAAUUGAGUGCUUAAAAUAUUUCCCGG
rnacentral:lncRNA from 11 species